rnacentral:rRNA from 1 species
UACGUAGGGUGCGAGCGUUGUCCGGAAUUAUUGGGCGUAAAGAGCUCGUAGGCGGUCUGUCGCGUCGAUCGUGAAAACUUGGGGCUUAACCCUGAGCUUGCGGUCGAUACGGGCAUGACUGGAGUUCGGUAGGGGAGACUGGAAUUCCUGGUGUAGCGGUGAAAUGCGCAGAUAUCAGGAGGAACACCGGUGGCGAAGGCGGGUCUCUGGGCCGAUAUUGACGCUGAGGAGCGAAAGCGUGGGGAGCGAACAGG